rnacentral:lncRNA from 1 species
AUGCAUAACAGGCGACUCGGAGAUACAAACAUAAUGGCGUGGUUUAGAAACAAGAGCUCUACUUCACCGUACUCAACUUUAGACAUGAAAGUAGACAGAAAUGAGUCUAAAACAACCACAGAAAACGAAGAUUCAUUCAGAAGUUUAUCUGAACACGCAGAGGGGGAUGUCAGUGAGGGUCAACAUGAGGCUGAUGAAAGCCAGGAGCCCGAGAGCAGGGUGACAGGGCCAAAAGAAGAAGAGGAAGAGUUUGACAGCAGAGAGUAUCGAGUUCACACUACCGAUGAAUUCUACUGCGACUAUGAUUCAACCUGGGAGACCGACCCGAAUGAGGAGAGCCCACCCAGCAGGAUCAGACAGACAACAAACUCCAACUAUUACAAGUUCAGCAGAUUUGAACGUGCUGCGAGAGACAUGCAGAACUUCAGACAUGACUACCCUAACCAAAUCAAGACACAGCACAGGAAGAAGAACACAAAUGACGACAAGCCUAACCUGAAUUUCUACCUUGGAAAGAAACGAUCGGUGCCAGACGGUGUCUACAUAACUGAUAUCCAUGAAAAAUAGUACGGAGACUAUGAAAGACUUGAGUAUGUGCAAACCUAUAUUCAGUGGUUGUUCCCACUGCAAGAACCAGGAGUGAACUAUGAGGCCAGUACACUGACAAAGGAAGAAAUUACGGUAAACCUGUGAAAGUUAC